GCUGGGCGUGGUGGCGCAUGCCUGGAAUCCCAGCUACUCGGGAGGCUGAGGCAGGGGAAUCGCUUGAACCCAGGAGGCGGAGGAUGCAGUGAGCUGAGAUCAGGUCAGUGCGCUCCAGCCUGGGUGAUAGAGCGAGACUCCGUCUCAA
rfam:Pan troglodytes isolate Yerkes chimp pedigree #C0471 (Clint) chromosome 2B, whole genome shotgun sequence.